rnacentral:rRNA from 1 species
UACGUAGGGUGCAAGCGUUGUCCGGAAUUAUUGGGCGUAAAGAGCUCGUAGGCGGUUUGUCGCGUCUGCUGUGAAAACUGGAGGCUCAACCUCCAGCCUGCAGUGGGUACGGGCAGACUAGAGUGCGGUAGGGGAGAUUGGAAUUCCUGGUGUAGCGGUGGAAUGCGCAGAUAUCAGGAGGAACACCGAUGGCGAAGGCAGAUCUCUGGGCCGUAACUGGCGCUGAGGAGCGAAAGCAUGGGGAGCGAACAGG